rnacentral:rRNA from 1 species
AGCUCGUAGUUGGAUCUCAGGGUACGGACCGCGGUUCCCUUUGUGGGGUCUACUGCGGUGCGGACCUUCAACUCUCUGCGGCUCCGGAUCGCGUGCACUUCAUCGUGUGCCGGUGCGGUCCGCAACGUUUACCUUGAAAAAAUUAGAGUGCUCAAAGCAGGCGCCUCCGCCCGGAUAGUUCAGCAUGGAAUAAUGGAACAGGACCUCGUGUCCCGUUUUGUUGGUCUUCUGGACCGAGGUAAUGAUUAUUAGGAACAGACGGGGGCAUUCGUACUGCGGCGCUAGAGGUGAAAUUCUUGGACCGCCGCAUGACGAACUAGUGCGAAAGCAUUUGCCAAGAAUGUUUCCAUUAAUCAAGAACGAAAGUUAGAGGAUCGAAGGCGAUCAGAUACCGCCGUAGUUCUAACCAUAAACGAUGCCGACCGGCAAUCUGCAAACGAGCUGUUUAUCUUUGCAGGCAGCCCUGGGGAAACCAGAGUUUUCGGGUUAUGGGGGAAGUAUGGUUGCAAAGCUGAAACUUAAAGGAAUUGACGGAAGGGCACCACCAGGAGUGGAGCCUGCGGCUUAAUUUGACUCAACACGGGAAAACUCACCCGGCCCGGACACAGUAAGGAUUGACAGAUUGAGAGCUCUUUCUUGAUUCUGUGGGUGGUGGUGCAUGGCCGUUCUUAGUUGGUGGAGUGAUUUGUCUGGUUAAUUCCGAUAACGAACGAGACUCCAACCUGCUAAAUAGACGGCGUCUCCCGCGCGGAGACGUCAGCCUUCUUAGAGGGACAAUCGGCGUUUAGCCGGAUGAGAUGGAGCAAUAACAGGUCUGUGAUGCCCUUAGAUGUUCGGGGCCGCACGCGCGCUACACUGAAAGAGUCAACGUGUGCCCACCCUACUCCGAAAGGAGCGGGUAACCCUGUGAGCCCCUUUCGUGAUGGGGAUAGGGGAU